rnacentral:lncRNA from 1 species
GUGAAACAGUCCUAGUUCAACAAAUAUUAGAAAACUGGACCUGUAAUGGCAAAUGGUUGGUGAUUGGUGAUCCUUCUUUCAUUCAUGUAAUCCUGUGGCUGACUUCUUUAUAAACUCAUCCACAGAGCUAUUUCACUAUCAUAACCAAUGCAUUUGUCUAAGAUGAAUUCAGACAACAUUAUAUAUAGUGAAGCAUAUAUAUAUCACCAUAAAGCUUUUUGCCAAAGCUAAUGGAAUACAUUGGAAAUC